GGAUCAGUACGUUGGUCGUGCCUUGGUACGUACUGAUGUAACUGAUUCCUCCCUUCUGACGAACCGUCAUGCCAUUCACUUGGUGUGGCGGGAAAUCAGGACUGUUACUUUGAAAAAAUUAGAGUGUUCAAAGCAGGCCUUUGCCCGAAUACAUUAGCAUGGCAUAAUAAAAUAGGACGU
rnacentral:rRNA from 1 species